GUUUCGGCCAAGGGAGUGGCGCACGGGUGAGUAACGCGUGGGAACCUGCCCUGGAGUGGGGGAUAACCGAGGGAAACCUCGGCUAAUACCGCAUACGUCCUGAGGGAGAAAGAUUUAUCGCUCUAGGAGGGGCCCGCGUCGGAUUAGCUAGUUGGUGGGGUAACGGCCUACCAAGGCGAUGAUCCGUAGCUGGUCUGAGAGGAUGAUCAGCCACACUGGGACUGAGACACGGCCCAGACUCCUACGGGAGGCAGCAGUGGGGAAUAUUGGACAAUGGGCGCAAGCCUGAUCCAGCAAUGCCGCGUGAGUGAUGAAGGCCUUAGGG
rnacentral:rRNA from 1 species